UACGUAGGGCGCAAGCGUUGUCCGGAAUUAUUGGGCGUAAAGAGCUCGUAGGCGGCUUGUCACGUCGGGUGUGAAAGCCCGGGGCUUAACCCCGGGUCUGCAUUCGAUACGGGCAGGCUAGAGUGUGGUAGGGGAGAUCGGAAUUCCUGGUGUAGCGGUGAAAUGCGCAGAUAUCAGGAGGAACACCGGUGGCGAAGGCGGCACUCUGGGACGGUACUGACGCUGAGACGCGAAAGCGUGGGGAGCGAACAGG
rnacentral:rRNA from 1 species